AUACGUAGGGAGCGAGCGUUGUCCGGAAUUACUGGGUGUAUAGGGAGCGUAGGCGGGAGUGCAAGUCAGAUGUGAAAUACAUGGGCUCAACCCAUGGGCUGCAUUUGAAACUGCAUUUCUUGAGUGAAGUAGAGGUAAGCGGAAUUCCUGGUGUAGCGGUGAAAUGCGUAGAUAUCAGGAGGAACACCGGUGGCGAAGGCGGCUUACUGGGCUUUUACUGACGCUGAGGCUCGAAAGCGUGGGGAGCAAACAGGAUUAGAUACCCUGGUAGUCCACGCUGUAAACGAUGAUUACUAGGUGUGGGGGGACUGACCCCUUCCGUGCCGCAGUUAACACAAUAAGUAAUCCACCUGGGGAGUACGAUCGCAAGAUUGAAACUCAAAUGAAUUGACGGGG
rnacentral:rRNA from 1 species